rnacentral:rRNA from 1 species
UUACCAGACUCCUACGGGAGGCAGCAGUGGGGAAUAUUGCACAAUGGGGGGAACCCUGAUGCAGCGACGCCGCGUGGGUGAAGGAGCACCUCGGUGCGUAAAGCCCUAUCGGCAGGGAAGAAACAGACGGUACCUGACUAAGAAGCCCCGGCUAACUACGUGCCAGCAGCCGCGGUAAUACGUAGGGGGCAAGCGUUAUCCGGAUUCACUGGGUGUAAAGGGAGCGUAGACGGCGACGCAAGUCUGGAGUGAAAGCCCGGGGCCCAACCCCGGGACUGCUCUGGAAACUGCGUCGCUGGAGUACGGGAGGGGCAGGCGGAAUUCCUGGUGUAGCGGUGAAAUGCGUAGAUAUCAGGAGGAACACCGGUGGCGAAGGCGGCCUGCUGGACUGCAACUGACGUUGAGGCCCGAAAGCGUGGGGAGCGAACAGGAUUAGAUACCCGCGUAC